GGUGGAUUUAUGGUGCGGUUGAAUUUCCUGCAAGUUGUAUGGUUAUCUAAUUUCUAUUUACAUGGUUGUGUUGUUGUCUCGUUGUCAACCAUUGCUUUGCGAGUUUUCGUAUCCUUUUGUCAUCUGUUUUUUGCCUUCACAUUCCCUUUUGCUCGUAGAAGUGAAAAGUUGCAUAUGUUCUGGUUGGGGACUGUUCAGAUAGGGC
rnacentral:lncRNA from 1 species